rnacentral:lncRNA from 1 species
GGUGACUUUGACCUCGUCUCCGUCAGGACUGGGGAGGAGUAUUUAAGUUGGGAAUGUGUCAGUAGGGAGUCUGAAAGAGAUUAAACGUAUAGCAAAACAUACCACUGCAAAACACUUGAUCUAACGACAGCGAUUUCAUUUAGUUAAACAUGCUUAUUACAAUCACUGUAUUUUACCACCAAACAUCAACUGUCUUUGAUGGUCAGUUGUCUGUGCCAGUGUUGUCCACAUCGUCACUGACUCAAUGGGUGUAGAGAACUUCUUCUUCACCAAAAUAAAAACAACGAGACAGUGGGUCUUUCUUCACUUCCUCUUGCCACCUCAUUCUCAAAACAUUACUAGGUACGAAGGACAGUAUUGGAGGAGACAACGCUUCCAGAGAGAGGAGAAAGAGCUUCCUUAUCGAGAGGGAGGUGGGAGAACGCUGGGCUUGAGGAUACAAGGCACCAAGGAAAGAUCAAGAAAAAGCCCUUAUGUGAAUAUGAAUCAGCGUGAGUUAAAUUUGAAUAAAUGCCAUUCUGUGGGUGUUAUUAAUUUUAUGAAGUGAUAAGAGCAUAGUUCUCUGCCAAGUUAGUAGAUUUCUUCAACUAACUGAUUAAACAGGUUGUUCCAGAAAUCAAAUCGUUGUGUGAGGUCAUCCGUUGUGUAGGGUGUGUGUGUGUGUGUGUGUGUGUGUGUGUGUUUUACUAUCCUUGUGGGGUCCAGAAGUCCAGAAGUCCUCACAAGGAUAGUAAAACAAGAAAAAAAAGGCUAUUUUAGCCUUAGGGGUUAGGUUUAGUGUUACAACUGGGGUUAGGAUUAGAAUUAGGAUUAGGGUUAGGAUUAGGAUUAGGGUUGAAUUGGGAUUAGGAUUAGGGUUAGAAUUAGGUUUAGGGUUGAAUUAGGAUUAGAAUUAGGUUUAGGGUUAGAAUUAGGAUUAGGGUUAGAAUUAGGAUUAGGGUUGAAUUAGGUUUAGGGUUGAAUUAGGAUUAGGGUUAGAAUUAGGAUUAGGGUUAGAAUUAGGAUUAGGGUUAGAAUUAGGUUUAGGGUUGAAUUAGAAUUAGUAUUAGGUUUAGAAUUAGGAUUAGUUUAGGGUGAAAUGGACACUUUACAUGAGCAAAGGGAUGGAAAGGGAGUGUAUCACAUGCUUAUACCCCUCCAGCCCUUACCGCCUGGCCCUGGUCGUUUAAAAUGGGAAGCUAGCUGAUAAGGCUGUUACCGACUGUUCCGGCCCUUACCACCUGGUUCAUUCUGAAUGGGAAGCUAGCUGUUACCGACUGUUCUGGCCCUUACCACCUGGUUCAUUCUGAAUGGGAAGCUAGCUUUUACCGACUGUUCUGGCCCUUACCACCUGGUUCAUUCUGAAUGGGAAGCUAGCUGUUACCGACUGUUCUGGCCCUUACCACCUGGUUCAUUCUGAAUGGGAAGCUAGCUGUUACCGACUGUUCUGGCCCUUACCACCUGGUUCAUUCUGAAUGGGAAGCUAGCUGUUACCGACUGUUCUGGCCCUUACCACCUGGUUCAUUCUGAAUGGGAAGCUAGCUGUUACCGACUGUUCUGGCCCUUACCACCUGGUUCAUUCUGAAUGGGAAGCUAGCUGUUACCGACUGUUCUGGCCCUUACCACCUGGUUCAUUCUGAAUGGGAAGCUAACUGUUACCGACUGUUCUGGCCCUUACCACCUGGUUCAUUCUGAAUGGGAAGCUAGCUGUUACCGACUGUUCUGGCCCUUACCACCUGGUUCAUUCUGAAUGGGAAGCUAGCUGAUAAGGCUGUUACCAUACCUAAUUCCUGUCCAUUCCUUUCCAUGUCCUCAUCCCAUUCCCGGAAUGGUAAGGAAGGGUAGGGUAGGCGAGGACUCCCAUCACAAUGAGGAUGAUUCAUAGGGGUAAUUCUGCCAUACAGAACAGCUACUGACUUGGCUCCUGCUUGACUUGGUGUAAAAAUGUGACUUAACAAUACAUAUCUUUCAGGGCACGGCCCAGACCUGUCUCUCUUUCAAUCUCUCUCUUCUCUCUCUCUCUCUCUCUCUCUCUCCCUCUAGUCUCUCUCUCUCUCUGUCUCUCUCUCUGUCUCUCUCUCUGUCUCUCUCUCUGUCUCUCUCUCUGUCUCUCUCUCUGUCUCUCUCUCUCUCUCUCUCUCUCUCUCUCUCUCUCUCUCUCUCUCUCUCUCUCUUUCUUUCUCUCUCUCUCUCUCUCUCUCUCUCUCUCUCUCUCUCUCUCUGCCCCCCCUCCCUACAUGGGAAACCAGACUCCAAUAAAGCAAGUAUCUGAGAUCUCAACCACUGUAACCACCACUAUGACAAGCCUUGAUUGUAAGUGAGAAAGCUGUAGCUGUGCUUUCUGCUUCCAUGUGUUAGAGGAGACUACCACAAGUCUAGCCCAGCCCAACGAUGACUGCAUCUGAACAGGAACAGAUACACACACACACACACACACACACACACACACACACACACACACACACACACACACACACACACACACAUAUAUACACACACACACACACACACACACACACACACACACACACACACACACACACACACACACACACACACACACACAUAUAUAUACACACACAUAUAUACACACACAUAUAUACACACACAUAUAUACACACACACAUACCACACACACACACAUACCACAUACACACACACGCACACACACACACACACUUACCACACACACACACACAUACCACACACACACACAGACACACACACACACACACACACACACACACACACACGACACACACACAGACAUACACACAUACAGACACACACACACACACACACACAUACAAUGUUCAAUAACCCUAACCCUAACCUGUAUAGCCUAGCCUGUUGUUCUUAGCUUAGCACCCUGUUUAUUGCAAAGUGUGAUUUCCCAGUAAAGUUAUUUUGAAAUCUGGCAAUGCAGUAGCAUUUACGAAAUGUUAAACUAUAAUUCUUUGAAUGACAAUAUUAUAAUUUACCAAUGUUUUCGAAUAGUAAUUUUGUAAAUUGUAACGUUGAUUCACCGGAAGCAUUUGAGUGGAAAAAAAUUCUGAAUUUCACCGCUACUGUAAAAUGCUGUUUUUGGAUAUAAAUAUGAACUUGAUGGAACAAAAAAUCCAUGUAUUGUAUAACAUGACAUCCUAGGAGUGUCAACUGAGGAAGAUUGUCAAAGGUUAGUGCAUAAUUUUAGCUGGUUAUCUGCUUUUGGUGACGCCUGUCUUUGAAUUGACAAAACAUUACACACAGCUAUUUUCAAUGUACUCUCCUAACAUAACCUAACUUUAUGCUUUCGCCGUAAAGCCUCUUUGAAAUCGGACAAUGUGGUUGGAUUUAGGAGAUGUUUAUCUUUCAAAUUGUGAGAAAUAGUUGAUUGUUUGAGAAAUUGAAAUUAUUAGAUUCUUGCAGUUUCGAAUUUCCCGCCAUGGUCUCUGGACAAUAAAUCCCGAUACCGGGAUAAGAUCCCCAACAUUCAAUACCGGGAUAAGAUCCCCAACAGGUUAAUCUCAACCUCAAUCCUACUCCUAACCUUAACCUCUCCCCAAACCCCACGCCUAACCUUAACCAUUACUAUCCCAAUACCGGGAUUAGAUCCCCAACAGGUUAAACUAAAGUUUAUAAAUUCUUAGUUCCACUCAUAAGUGAAAACAUACUGUAAUCAGCAUCAUACUGUAACCAGCAUCUGACAUACUGUAAUCAGCAUCUAACAUACUGUAUUCAGCAUCAAACUGUAAUCAGCAUCUGACAUACUGUAAUCAGCAUCAUACUGUAAUCAGCAUCAUACUGUAACCAGCAUCUGACAUACUGUAAUCAGCAUCUAACAUACUGUAUUCAGCAUCAAACUGUAAUCAGCAUCUGACAUACUGUAAUCAGCAUCAUACUGUAAUCAGCAGCGUACUGUAAUCAGUAUCAUACUGUAAUCAGCAUCAUACUGUAAUCAGCAUCAUACUGUAACCAGCAUCUGACAUACUGUAAUCAGCAUCUAACAUACUGUAAUCAGCAUCAAACUGUAAUCAGCAUCAUACUGUAAUCAGCAUCAUACUGUAACCAGCAUCUGACAUACUGUAAUCAGCAUCUGACAUACUGUAAUCAGCAUCAAACUGUAACCAGCAUCUGACAUACUGUAAUCAGCAUCAUACUGUAAUCAACAUCAUACUGUAAUCAGCAUCAUACUGUAAUCAGCAUCUGACAUACUGUAAUCAGCAUCAUACUGUAACCAGCAUCUGACAUACUGUAAUCAGCAUCUGACAUACUGUAAUCAGCAUCAAACUGUAAUCAGCAGCGUACUGUAAUCAGCAUCAUACUGUAAUCAGCAUCUAAGAUACUGUAAUCAGCAUCAAACUGUAAUCAGCAGCGUACUGUAAUCAGCAUCAAACUGUAAUCAGCAUCAUACUGUAAUCAACAUCAUACUGUAAUCAGCAUCAUACUGUAAUCAGUGUCAUACUGUAAUCAACAUCAGACAUACUGUAAUCACCAUCACACUGUAAUCAGCAUCAUACUGUAAUCAGUGUCAUACUGUAAUCAACAUCUGACAUACUGUUAUUAGCAUCAUACAGUAAUCAGCAUCUGACCUACUGUAAUCAGCAUCUGACCUACUGUAAUCAGCAUCUGACCUACUGUAAUCAGCAUCUGACCUACUGUAAUCAGCAUCUGACCUACUGUAAUCAGUAUCUGACCUACUGUAAUCAGCAUCUGACCUACUGUAAUCAGCAUCAAACUGUAAUCAGCAGCGUACUGUAAUCAGCAUCAUACUGUAAUCAGCAUCUAACAUACUGUAAUCAGCAUCAAACUGUAAUCAGCAUCUAACAUACUGUAAUCAGCAUCAAACUGUAAUCAGCAGCGUACUGUAAUCAGCAUCAAACUGUAAUCAGCAUCAUACUGUAAUCAACAUCAUACUGUAAUCAGCAUCAUACUGUAAUCAGUGUCAUACUGUAAUCAACAUCUGACAUACUGUAAUCACCAUCACACUGUAAUCAGCAUCAUACUGUAAUCAGUGUCAUACUGUAAUCAACAUCUGACAUACUGUAAUCACCAUCAUACUGUAAUCAACAUCUGACAUACU